rnacentral:rRNA from 1 species
AUACGUAGGUGGCGAGCGUUGUCCGGAAUUACUGGGUGUAAAGGGCGUGUAGGCGGGAGAGCAAGUCAGUUGUGAAAGCCCGAGGCUCAACUUCGGGAUUGCAUCUGAAACUGCCCUUCUUGAGUACUGGAGAGGGAAGCGGAAUUCCUAGUGUAGCGGUGAAAUGCGUAGAGAUUAGGAGGAACACCAGUGGCGAAGGCGGCUUCCUGGACAGAGACUGACGCUGAGGCGCGAAAGCGUGGGGAGCGAACAGGAUUAGAUACCCUGGUAGUCCACGCCGUAAACGAUGGAUACUAGGUGUAGGGGGUAUCGACUCCCUCUGUGCCGGAGUUAACACAAUAAGUAUCCCACCUGGGGAGUACGGCCGCAAGGUUGAA